AAACUUAUUAUGGCUAAGACUCCAAGGAAAGUAAUUGUUAAAAAUUAUAAAGUUGUUUGCUUCUUCACAAUCCUUAUUAUAUUUCUUCUUAUGAUUGUGGCAACCGGGGAAGCAUAUUGUUGGUUUUUAAGCCAAAGUUGGCAUGGGAGAUGCCAAUUCACAAAAAGUAGUCAACAGCGCUGCAUAGAGGAGGAUUGGAAGGCAAUAUAUGGGGCAUGUCGUGGCAUUUGGCAUUCAAAAUGCUACUGCUACAAAAAAUGUAUCUGAUCGAGUGCAACCAUGCAAUGCAUUAUGUUUGUGCGACUUCUGCCAUAUAUGUGAUCUUCUUUUAAA